UUCACAAGCUGUUUUAGGACCUCAUUCUUAGCGACACUUACUUAUAGAGGGAAUGCAAGAGUAGAGCUGGAUUCCGCAUUUCCAACGUCCGAAGGGAUGAAACGCCACCUCUUCACUUUGAAGAAGGAAUCAUCUGAUGAGGACACGGACAUCGGACACGUGAUCCAUGUGGGACCGCGGCGGUGCAAGUCUCACGUAUUCUUGUCGGUGCGGUGACUUUGACGACAAAGAAGACUUGGACCCUGUCGUGAGUCAUGUUUGCCGCGACGUCCGCUCUAUGUUUUGGAGCCCGACUAUCGGAGGAGGACAUCCUUAGAGAAAUCUCCGCAAAAGAGCUCUUUAAUGGGGGACUUCCGCACGAGAAACAUCGUUUGCCGGAAGGAAACACCAUGGCUUUCUUCGAGCCCUUCAUAAACGACGGAUACGUCUUUUCCGUAUAUAUAGGGUGCAAUUUACGGAAAUAAAAUAAACCCAACCUUC